UGGGGAAUAUUGAACAAUGGGCGCAAGCCUGAUGCAGCCAUGCCGCGUGUAUGAAGAAGGCCUUCGGGUUGUAAAGUACUUUCAGCGGGGAGGAAGGGAGUAAAGUUAAUACCUUUACUCAUUGACGUUACCCGCAGAAGAAGCACCGGCUAACUCCGUGCCAGCAGCCGCGGUAAUACGGAGGGUGCAAGCGUUAAUCGGAAUUACUGGGCGUAAAGCGCACGCAGGCGGUUUGUUAAGUCAGAUGUGAAAUCCCCGGGCUCAACCUGGGAACUGCAUCUGAUACUGGCAAGCUUGAGUCUCGUAGAGGGGGGUAGAAUUCCAGGUGUAGCGGUGAAAUGCGUAGAGAUCUGGGGGAAUACCGGUGGCGAAGGCGGCCCCCUGGACGAAGACUGACGCUCAGGUGCGGAAGCGUGGGGAGCAAACAGG
rnacentral:rRNA from 1 species